rnacentral:tRNA from 1 species
AGAAAUAUGUCUGAGAAUAGAGUUAUCUUGAUGAGGUAAAAAAUAGGGGUGCGAGCCCCCUUAUUUCUA